GAUGAACGCUGGCGGCGUGCCUAAUACAUGCAAGUCGAGCGAACGGACGAGAAGCUUGCUUCUCUGAUGUUAGCGGCGGACGGGUGAGUAACACGUGGAUAACCUACCUAUAAGACUGGGAUAACUUCGGGAAACCUUAUCUCAUACCGGAUAAUAUUUUGAACCGCAUGGUUCAAAAGUGAAAGACGGUCUUGCUGUCACUUAUAGAUGGAUCCUCGCUGCAUUAGCUAGUUGGUAAGGUAACGGCUUACCAAGGCAACGAUGCAUAGCCGACCUGAGAGGGUGAUCGGCCACACUGGAACUGAGACACGGUCCAGACUCCUACGGGAGGCAGCAGUAGGGAAUCUUCCGCAAUGGGCGAAAGCCUGACGGAGCAACGCCGCGUGAGUGAUGAAGGUCUUCGGAUCGUAAAACUCUGUUAUUAGGGAAGAACAUAUGUGUAAGUAACUGUGCACAUCUUGACGGUACCUAAUCAGAAAGCCACGGCUAACUACGUG
rnacentral:rRNA from 1 species